AGCCACCGCUAUUGGAUUUCGAUUAAACCAUGCGAGUCGAGAGGGUUCGGCCCUCGGCGGACCGCUCAGUAACACGCGGAUAACCUGCCCUCGGGUGGGGGAUAAGCUCAGGAAACUGAGUACAAUACCCCAUAGACCAUCUAUGCUGGAACGCUUGAUGGUCGAAAGCUCCGGCGCCCAAGGAUGGAUCUGCGGCCUAUCAGGUUGUAGUUGGUGUAACGGACCAACUAGCCUACGACGGGUACGGGCCUUGAGAGAGGUAGCCCGGAGAUGGAUUCUGAGACAUGAAUCCAGGCCCUACGGGGCGCAGCAGGUGCGAAAACUUCGCAAUGUGGGAAACCACGACGAGGGGAAUCCAAGUGCUUGCACAAUGUGUAGGCUGUUUCCAUGCCUAAAAAGCAUGGAGAGUAAGGGCUGGGUAAGACGGGUGCCAGCCGCCGCGGUAAUACCCGCAGCCCGAGUGGUGGUCGUUAUUAUUGGGCCUAAAACGUCCGUAGCCGGCCCGGUAAAUUCGUGGGGAAAUCGGUCAGCUUAACUGACCGAAGUCCGCGGAGACUGCCGGGCUUGGGACUGGGUGAGGUCAGAGGUACUUCAGGGGUAGGGGUAAAAUCCUGUAAUCCUUGAAGGACCACCAGUGGCGAAGGCGUCUGACUAGAACGGAUCCGACGGUAAGGGACGAAGCCCUGGGACACAAACGGGAUUAGAUACCCCGGUAGUCCAGGGUGUAAACGCUGUGGGCUUGGUGUUGGGAGUCCCACGAGGGCGCCCAGUGCCGGAGAGAAGUUGUUAAGCCUACUGCCUGGGGAGUACGCUCGCAAGAGUGAAACUUAAAGGAAUUGGCGGGGGAGCACCGCAACGGGUGGAGCGUGCGGGUUU
rnacentral:rRNA from 1 species